UGAUGCGAUCGUAGACACAGACAAUGUGCCGAGAUCCUCUCCAAAGCUUUGUCACCAAACGCAUCGUGGCAUCAUCAAUAAGCACUCAUACCUCGAGCUGGAUGGUAACGGCGGCUAUGUUGACAUAGCGGACGUCGCAAGCUCGAUAUAUCCGCCUAAAAGAGCCCUGCCUGGUCCACCGGAUGCCACCAGGACCGCGGAAAACGGGUACCUUACACUGGUGACUGCAUCACUUCCAAGGGACAUAUCUGAACCAUUCAAAACAGAGGACAAUAAGUUACAUUCAGCGUAUGUCACUUCGUCCGCAACACCAAUGACAACAGAGAUAUCAAUGCACAAAUUGUCAACAUUGUAAUUAAGGAAAUAGUAGUUUAUGAAGUGAAAGACAAAUUCAAACAUACAAUGAAAAUCAUUUCUAAAAAGUUGAAGAAUACUGGACACAAUAAGAAUCUUCAAAACGUAACUUUUAUGCAAUGUUAAAGUGAUUUGUAUUCUCUCAAACCCACGCUACAUGUUGAUGGUAUUUACUACAACUUAAUCGCUCAGCUCGAUGAAUGAAGGUUGUAUUGCCUUCAAAAUGAAUGUAAAACGUGUUCAAUCUUAAAAUGUUGUUGAAACUUGUCUUAACCGAACUUAAAUUUUAAAGUUGUCAUGAUUUUCUGAAGUGACUUGUAGUGUGUAUUGCUUGUAAAUAUUUGUUGUCGUUUUUUUACUAUUGAGGCUAUGAUUUACUUGAAUUUGCGUUAUUGACAACAUAUAGGAUAAUGUAAAAGUAUAUGUUUUCCUAAAUGCUUCAUUUGGUAAUAUAAAAUAAAUAACAAUACUUAUAAAUGUA